GUUUCACAGUUGCCUCCUGCAAGCUCACAGCAACCAGCACCAGCUGGCUUCAGCGCACAUCUAAAGGCCCUCCCCAACAACAGACAGAGGCCCGUGCAUCCCAGCAGAAACCCGGCUCUGAGCCCUUGUGGUCCCUGGAUCAGGACAGGGCCAUGGGCUUGUCUUCCAGCCCCUUGAAGAGGCCACACAAGAUCCCAGGGCAUCCGCCCUGGUUCUCCUACCCUGCACCCGGCGAUGGCCGCUGCCUGCCGUGCCCACGCAGAGACAAGGCCAGCCUCUCCGCAAAGGCUCUGACAGGACAGGGAUCACUGAGCAAAGCUGGCCGCCAUAUCGUGAGGAUACUCAGGCAACCAUGGAGAGACCCACAUGAGAAGCCCUGCCAAAAGCCUGCACGAAUUUGCCGGUCAUGUGAUUGAGUCAUCUUGGGAGGAGAUCCUCCAGCCCCAGUCAAGCCUUCAGGUCAAUGUAGCCCAAUCGGACGUAUGAUUGCAACCUCAUAAGAGACCCUGAACCAGAAAUGCCAGCUGAACUGCUCUCCCAUUCCUGACCCAUAGAAAUUGCAACAUAAUAAAA
ensembl:lncRNA